rnacentral:rRNA from 1 species
CCUACGGGCGGCUGCAGUGGGGAAUAUUGGACAAUGGGGGGAACCCUGAUCCAGCCAUGCCGCGUGUGUGAAGAAGGCCCUCGGGUUGUAAAGCACUUUCAGUGAGGAAGAACGACUGGUGGCUAAUACCCAUCAGGAAAGACAUCACUCACAGAAGAAGCACCGGCUAACUCCGUGCCAGCAGCCGCGGUAAUACGGAGGGUGCGAGCGUUAAUCGGAAUUACUGGGCGUAAAGCGCGCGUAGGUGGCUUGAUAAGCCGGUUGUGAAAGCCCCGGGCUCAACCUGGGAACGGCAUCCGGAACUGUCAAGCUAGAGUGCAGGAGAGGAAGGUAGAAUUCCCGGUGUAGCGGUGAAAUGCUUAGAGAUCGGGAGGAAUACCAGUGGCGAAGGCGGCCUUCUGGACUGACACUGACACUGAGGUGCGAAAGCGUGGGUAGCAAACAGGAUUAGAUACCCUGGUAGUC